rnacentral:rRNA from 1 species
CACCGCGGUUACACGAGUGGCACAAAUUAAUGUUUAACAGCAUUAAGGGUGAUUAAGAAACUCCUCACUACUACUAAAGAUUAAACCUCAUUAAGCUGUCAUACGCUUACAUGCUCAAAAAAUUACACUCACGAAAGUAACUUUAAGUAUACAGAAAAUCCGACCUCACGAAAGUUAAGACC